rnacentral:rRNA from 1 species
GCGGAGGAAAAGAAACCAACAGGGAUUGCUCAGUAACGGCGAGUGAAGCGGCAACAGCUCAAAUUUGAAAUCUGGCCUCGGCCCGAGUUGUAAUUUGCAGAGGAUGCUUCUGGCAACGUGCCUUCCGAGUCCCCUGGAACGGGGCGCCGGAGAGGGUGAGAGCCCCGUACGGUUGGACGCCGCGCCUGUGUGAAGCUCCUUCGACGAGUCGAGUAGUUUGGGAAUGCUGCUCUAAGCGGGAGGUAAAUUCCUUCUAAAGCUAAAUACCGGCCAGAGACCGAUAGCGCACAAGUAGAGUGAUCGAAAGAUGAAAAGCACUUUGGAAAGAGGGUUAAAAAGUACGUGAAAUUGCUGAAAGGGAAGCGCCUGCGACCAGACUCGCGCCGGGCGAAUCAUCCAGCGUUCUCGCUGGUGCACUUCGCCCGGUCCGGGCCAGCAUCGGUUCUGACGGGGGGACAAAAGCCCGGGAAAUGUAGCUCCCUCCGGGGAGUGUUAUAGUCCCUCGCCUAAUACCCCCGCCGGGACCGAGGACCGCGCUUUACGCAAGGAUGCUGGCAUAAUGGUCGUCGGCGACCCGUCUUGAAACACGGACCAAGGAGUCGAACAUUUGUGCGAGUGUUUGGGUGGAAAACCCUCACGCGCAAUGAAAGUGAACUUUGGUGGGAGCCUCGGCGCACCACCGACCGAUCCUGAAGUUUUCGGAUGGAUUUGAGUAGGAGCAUAACUGUUCGGACCCGAAAGAUGGUGAACUAUGCCUGUGUAGGGUGAAGCCAGAGGAAACUCUGGUGGAGGCUCGCAGCGGUUCUGACGUGCAAAUCGAUCGUCAAACAUGGGCAUGGGGGCGAAAGACUAAUCGAACCAUCUAGUAGCUGGUUUCCGCCGAAGUUCCCCUC